rnacentral:misc_RNA from 1 species
ACCUUUGGUAAGAUAAGAUAACCGACCGUAGAUCCUUCACUGUUAGUGUUCAACUUGUUGGUGCAGCAUCUAUGCGUUCAUUGGUCUCUGCACAUGUCGCUGUGACAGUUCCAGCAUACUGUUGCUGUCAGCAAGAAGUCUCGUUGUACUUGUGGUGGAGAGCGGCCGAGAGAGAGACCUCUCAUUUAUAUCUCCGCCUUGAGCAAGCGUCCUCUGCCUCGUCCGAGGGCUUACUGCCCCACCUGCAGCAGUGAGGGGAAGGAGAAGUAGGUAAACUAUGAGUGACGAGAGGCGAGUUAAGGCAGCAGAGAGCAGCUGGACAGCAGCAGGGAACAGCAGGGGGCGGGUGGUCCCCCGAGCCCCCUCCUCCUGCAGACCGGAGGGGCUCAAGUAUGUAGUGCCCACUAUGAUAGUCCGGGCUGUGUGCAGGAGCAUGAGGUUAUGGUAUGCAGUUCUCAUGUUCCUCAUAGUCUACUUACUGGCCCUGGUGCUCUUCACACUCCCACUCUCAUCAUUCCUCUCCCCAUCUCUCAAACCCAUCUCCCACCGUCAAUCCCCAGAGAAGAGCUCGGGUGGAGUGAAGCUCCUCAACAAACCUGGCAAGAACCUGAUCGAAGAAGUAACAUUACCAUCAUCUUGGAACACCUCACUGGACCUUCUCCACCGUCUAGAGGCCAGGCGACAACACCUCCGCCAGAUGUGUUCAAAGGAGGGGCUGGACCAACCCACAAAAGAUUAUCAAAUCAAUGCUUGGGAGUUCCUCAUCAACCGGGAAUUCGGGCUGGUGUGGUGCAACGUGUUCAAGGCCGCCUCUUCCACCUGGCUUUGGAACUUCAACCUCCUCGCUGGUUACACUGAAAAACAGCUCCUUAAGUCCAACGAUUCCCCCAUUCAGCUGGCGCGUCGAAAGUACCCUAGACCAUCAGUGGCAGAGCUACAAGAGGUGAUGAACGGUGACACGCCGCCUCUCUCCUUUAUGAUCACAAGACACCCCUUCCUGCGUCUGGUGUCUGCCUACAGGAAUAAAAUUCUCAGUGGCAACGAAAUUUACAGGAACGUCAUGAAGGGUAUAUUAAUAAAGUACAAGCAUCUUGGUCCCCCUGUACCCAUGAAGGUCACUAAUGGGAAGAAGCCUCCCAAGGGCGCUGUCUCGCCAUCUUUCAGUCAGUUCGUCCAAUGGGUGCUGGACGAGGCUGCGAGCGGUCGGCCUCUGGACAUGCACUGGAUCCCACAGACUACCUUCUGCACCCCGUGUCUCGUCGACUUCGCCGUUCUUGCCAAGAUGGAAACACUCGAGGAAGACGGGAACUAUAUCAUCUUCACUUCAGGGAUUAACCAAGUGAUUCAACCCAAGAGGAUCAACAGGUCAACAGGAGAGUCAACGGAGGAGGCAGCCAUGUGGUUCCUGUGCCAGCUGUCAACAUCUCAGAUUGAUGCUCUGCUAGUUCUUUACCGUCUCGACCUCCUCCUUUUCGACUACGAUGCCUCCAUCUUCCACAACUGCACCUCCAGUACUUAAUGUCCACCCCUUUCACUGACUCUACAUUGCUCUUCCAUUAGUUAAUAUCCCCCCCCCUUCCCCACCAUACUGCUCCACCUACACUAUACAUAAUGCAACAUCUUCCCUCUCCAUACUCUAAUGGAGUAUACUCUACCUCUUGGAUUGUAUUUAACUUGAAAUGCAUAAUUUAAUUUUAUCACUGUGAAAUAGAAAUUAUAAAUAACUUCAAUUUACAUUUUCCUAUUUACUGUAUUGUGUUUACAGACCAUAUACUGUGGUACAAGCAUCUGUAUUCUACCAAUCUUGGAGUUUAGACUCAUGAUUGUUGUUAUAGAUUCAGCUACUCGGAACAAGCUCCAAGUAGCACGGGCUAUAGUGAGCCCAUAACUUACCUGGAACAGGAGCGGGGCAAGUAGCACAGGCUAUGGUGAGCCCCCACUGGCACAGGAGCGGUGCUGUGUGACUCAUGAUUUGCUGAAGAGGACUUAUAUUACAAGCUUCCGCUCACCUUGGCCAAACUGAUCAACAUCUGGUACUGCUUUGCUGCGCCUCGCUACACAUUCAAAGGAGGGGCAGGAACUAUUGAAAGUGUUCUACUAAAAAAUUUCAAACACUUGAUAAUACAGUAAUGAAAAACAAGGCAAAUCAAAAUAGAAUGAGUGAGGAGGCCAUAGUUUUCUGGUACAAAAAUAACCUGAUAUAUGUACUCUAUAAUGAAGUUAGAUGCUGAGGUGGUGUCGACAGGUGCUAAUAAAACACGGGUAAUCCAACACCACCUUGUAUCUAGUGUACUCCAAUUUUUACUAAAAGACUAAUUUAUUUGACUUGUAUAGCUAUGAAAAAAAUAUCAAAUACAGUGAUGUCCUCAUCAGCAAAGUCAGUAACAAUCAUACAGGAGUGAUCAGCUUAAGACCUUUAAUCAUGCGUGCAUGCACAUGGGAUACAUUAAUAAAAUAUCCGCGGCUACAAA